rnacentral:rRNA from 1 species
CCUACGGGAGGCAGCAGUGGGGAAUUUUGGACAAUGGGGGCAACCCUGAUCCAGCCAUGCCGCGUGCGGGAAGAAGGCCUUCGGGUUGUAAACCGCUUUCGGCCGGAACGAAAUCGCCGGGGAGAACAUCCCCGGUGGAUGACGGUACCGGACGAAGAAGCACCGGCUAACUACGUGCCAGCAGCCGCGGUAAUACGUAGGGUGCGAGCGUACGUCGGAAUUACUGGGCGGGAUGGGUAAGCAGGCGGUUAAAUCCCCGGGCUUAACCUGGGAACUGCGUUUGUGACUGGCGGGCUGGAGUGCGGAAGAGGGAGGUGGAAUUCCACGUGUAGCAGUGAAAUGCGUAGAGAUGUGGAGGAACACCGAUGGCGAAGGCAGCCUCCUGGUCUAGCACUGACGCUCAUGCACGAAAGCGUGGGGAGCAAACAGGAUUAGAUACCCGGGUAGUC